rnacentral:rRNA from 1 species
GACGAACGCUGGCGGCGUGCUUAACACAUGCAAGUCGAACGAAGUGGCGAACGGGUGAGUAACGCGUAAUCAACCUGCCCUUCAGAGGGGGACAACAGUUGGACACGACUGCCAAUACCGCAUACUGAAGGAGGGGAUUGCGUCUGCUUAGCUAGUUGGAGGGGUAACGGCCCCCCAAGGCGAUGAUCAGUAGCCGGGCUGGGAGGGUGAACGGCCACAUUGGGACUGAGAACCGGGCCAGACUCCUACGGGAGGCAGCAGUGGGGGAUCUUCCGCAAUGGAAGAAAGUCUUGCGGGGCAACGCCGCGGGAGUGAUGACGGCCUUCGGGUUGUAAAGCUCUGGUUAUCGGGAAGCGGUACCGGAAUAGAAAGCCACGGCUAACUACGUGCCAGCAGCCGCGGUAAUUC